rnacentral:rRNA from 1 species
AUGUUGGUUCGCGCUUUAUGGCAUUUCAACGAGCAAACUAAUCCAAUCCCACAAAGGAUUGUUCAUGGAACUACUAUCGAAAUUAUUCGGACCAUAUUUCCAAGUGUCAUUCUUUUGUUCAUUGCUAUACCAUCGUUUGCUCUGUUAUACUCAAUGGACGGGGUAUUAGUAGAUCCAGCCAUUACUAUCAAAGCUAUUGGACAUCAAUGGUAA